GUGAAACUGCGAAUGGCUCAUUAAAUCAGUUAUCGUUUAUUUGAUAGUACCUUACUACUUGGAUAACCGUGGUAAUUCUAGAGCUAAUACAUGCUAAAAACCCCGACUUCGGAAGGGGUGUAUUUAUUAGAUAAAAAACCAAUGCUCUUCGGGGCUCCUUGGUGAUUCAUAAUAACUUAACGAAUCGCAUGGCCUUGUGCCGGCGAUGGUUCAUUCAAAUUUCUGCCCUAUCAACUUUCGAUGGUAGGAUAGUGGCCUACCAUGGUUUCAACGGGUAACGGGGAAUUAGGGUUCUAUUCCGGAGAGGGAGCCUGAGAAACGGCUACCACAUCCAAGGAAGGCAGCAGGCGCGCAAAUUACCCAAUCCCGACACGGGGAGGUAGUGACAAUAAAUACUGAUACAGGGCUCUUUUGAGUCUUGUAAUUGGAAUGAGUACAAUUUAAAUCCCUUAACGAGGAACAAUUGGAGGGCAAGUCUGGUGCCAGCAGCCGCGGUAAUUCCAGCUCCAAUAGCGUAUAUUAAAGUUGUUGCAGUUAAAAAGCUCGUAGUUGAACCUUGGGCCUGGCUGGCCGGUCCGCCUCACCGCGUGCACUGGUCCGGCCGGGCCUUUCCUCCUGGGGAGCCGCAUGCCCUUCACUGGGUGUGUCGGGGAACCAGGACUUUUACUUUGAAAAAAUUAGAGUGUUCAAAGCAGGCCUAUGCUCGAAUACAUUAGCAUGGAAUAAUAGAAUAGGACGUGUGGUUCUAUUUUGUUGGUUUCUAGGACCGCCGUAAUGAUUAAUAGGGAUAGUCGGGGGCAUCAGUAUUCAAUUGUCAGAGGUGAAAUUCUUGGAUUUAUUGAAGACUAACUACUGCGAAAGCAUUUGCCAAGGAUGUUUUCAUUAAUCAGUGAACGAAAGUUAGGGGAUCGAAGACGAUCAGAUACCGUCGUAGUCUUAACCAUAAACUAUGCCGACUAGGGAUCGGGCG
rnacentral:rRNA from 1 species